GAUGAACGCUAGCAAAACGCCUCCCUUUUGCAAGUCAAACGGACUUGUAAACUUCGGUUUACAAGUUAGGGGCAAACGGGCGAGUAACACGUGCUUAAUCUGCCCGGGAGAGGGGGACAACAUGAGAAAUCAUGCUAAACCCCCAUACGCUCAUGGAAAUGAAAAUACCAUGAGGAAACAAUUUAUUGCUCUAGGAGGAGGGGGCGGCCUAUCAGGUAGUUGGGGAGGUAAGGGCUCACCAAGCCUACAACGGGUAGCCGGUCUGAGAGGAUGUCCGGCCGCAAUGGAACUGAAACACGGCCCAUACCCCUACGGGGGGCAGCAGGGGGAAAUUUUGGUCAAGGGGCGAAAGCCUGAACCAGCGAUUCUGCGUGAAGGAUGAACCCUCGCGGGGUGUAAACUUCUUUUUGGGGGGAAGACAAAUGACGGUACCCCACAAAUAAGGGACGGCUAACUACGUG
rnacentral:rRNA from 1 species